rnacentral:rRNA from 1 species
UACAAGUACCGUGAGGGAAAGUUGCAAAGCACUUUGAAGAGAGAGUUAAAGAGGACGUGAAACCGGUAAGGUGGAAACGGAUAGAGUCGGCGUAUCAUUCAAUUAUUCAGUUACAUUAUUUUUAUGUUGUGACCUCUGAGCUCCAGAUUGGGACAGAGGGAAUCAGCAUAAUUUUUUGUGGUGCAUUUACUUGAUUGGUGCUUGGGGAUGUUUGAGGCAGAUUUGUUUCCGUCGUUUUGAGGCCAGCUUGCUGGUACCCAAACGGUGUUAGCAUUUUUUGUCUUGGGCAUUUGAGUAUGGCUCACGUGUAUUUAUUGGACAGAUCUGAGUGUAAGUUACGGUCGCAUGCGACACGUGCUUUUCAAUUAGUUCGGUCCAGUUAAUGCUCUCGUACUCGUUCCCCAUGUAAAAGCCGGUCAUCUAUCCGACCCGUCUUGAAACACGGACCAAGGAGUUUAUCGUGUGCGCAAGUUUUUGGGUGUUAAAAACUUAAAAGCGAAAUGAAAGUAAAUGACUCUUUAGAGUCUGAUGUGCGAUCUUGUAAAAAAGUGUAGCAUGGCCCCAUUCUAACUGUUUACAGUAGGGUGGCGGAAGAGCGUACGCGGUGAGACCCGAAAGAUGGUGAACUAUUCCUGAGCAGGACGAAGCCAGAGGAAACUCUGGUGGAAGUCCGAAGCGGUUCUGACGUGCAAAUCGAUCGUCUGACUUGGGUAUAGGGGCGAAAGACUAAUCGAACCAUCUAGUAGCUGGUUUCCUUCCGA